rnacentral:tRNA from 1 species
AAUAAGAUGCCUGAAAAAAGGAUCAUUUUGAUAGAGUGAAAAAUGCAAACUAUGCUCUUAUUA